AACGAACGCUGGCGGCAUGCCUAACACAUGCAAGUCGAACGAGACCUUCGGGUCUAUUGGCGCACGGGUGAGUAACGCGUGGGAACCUGCCCUUAGGUUCGGAACAACCCCCCGAAAGGGGUGCAAAAACCGGAUAAUGUCUUCGGACCAAAGAUUGAUCGCCUUUGGAUGGGCCCGAGUUGGAUUAGUUAGUUGGUAGGGUAAAAGCCUACCAAGGCGACGAUCCAUAGCUGGUCUGAGAGGAUGAUCAGCCACACUGGGACUGAGAAACGGCCCAGACUCCUGCGGGAUGCAGCAGUGGGUAAUAUUGGCCAAUGGGCGGAAGCCUGAUCCAGCAAUGCCGCGUGAGUGAUGAAGGCCUUAGGGUUGUAAAGCUCUUUUACCCGGGAUGAUAAUGACAGUACCGGGAGAAUAAGCUCCGGCUAACUCCGUG
rnacentral:rRNA from 1 species